rnacentral:misc_RNA from 1 species
ACCCAGAAAGGUCUUGGCCA